GAUGAACGUUGGCGGCGUGCCUAAUACAUGCAAGUCGAACGAAGACUGUAGUAAUACUGUCUUAGUGGCGAACGGGUGAGUAACGCGUGGGUGACCUGCCCCGAAGUGUGGGAUAACAGUUCGAAAGAACUGCUAAUACCGCAUAACAUCCAAGAGAUUAGACGCUUUUGGAUUAAAGGAUUUAUUCGCUUCGGGAGGGGCCUGCGUCCCAUCAGCUAGUUGGUAAGGUAAUGGCUUACCAAGGCUAUGACGGGUAGGGGACCUGAGAGGGUGGCCCCCCACAAUGGAACUGAAACACGGUCCAUACACCUACGGGUGGCAGCAGUAGGGAAUAUUAGUAAUGGGCGAAAGCCUGAACUAGCAACGCCGCGUGUGCGAAGAAGGCCUUCGGGUUGUAAAGCACUUUUAGAGAGGAUGAGGAAGGACGGUACUCUCAGAAUAAGUCUCGGCUAACUACGUG
rnacentral:rRNA from 1 species